rnacentral:lncRNA from 1 species
GUCACAGCAAUUUGAAUUUAAAUGUUAAUUAAAAUUAAACUAAAAUCUGGUCUCAGGUUCUGAGCGCUCUGGCCACAGGUAAAUGGCAUCUGCCAUAUUGGCCCUCGCAACUAGAGAUGACUUCUUUGAGACACAGAAGCACAGAGAGUAGUUUUCUCAAGAUCAAAACAGCUAAAAGUAACAUGUUACAACUCAGAUUUGCGUGCAUGGUCAACAGACAUUCACCAUCUCUUCCAAGCACUUUAUCACCUACAGCAUUAAGUGGGGGUCCCCCAGAUCCUGCCCCUUCCAAACAUAGCUCAAGCCCAUGUUCCCUGCCUAUGGCAGGAGCUAAGGUAUCUGUUGCCUGUGGCUAUGCCAUGGGAAGGGGCAGAAUAAACAUGGAUCUUACCUCUUUCAUCUACAAAGAAGGUGUUGCCUUGAUGUUAGUCAACAUCUUUGAGGGGACAAGGAAGGAAGUGGAGAAGCUACCUGCCCCAGCCUCCUGGACUCCGAGAUUAUACACACACACCAUCAUGCCUAGCAAAGAGAAAAUAUUUUAUGAUAACGUACAAAUCAAAUAAAUGCAUACUUAUAUGCAGGAAUGCACAUACUACUAGUUGUGUGCACCCAAGUACACACACACACACAAAGAUAAAAACAUUUAGGGAAACCCAUGCUUGUUAAUACUGACAGACAGUACCAUACCACGAACGUUUUGGAAAGACAGCCAAGAAUGUGUCCCCAAGGCAGCACAGAGCUGCAUGUCUAAUGGUGCUGGCUUUCCUGAUCUGUCUCUGAUAAAUAUCCCAGUUCCAGAAGCAUCCUUGAAGGUUCAUUGGAGGCAUACAAGAAGCCUCCCAACUGGCUGACAGCCAAGGGAUGCAGACAAGAGUUAGGCAAGAGCAACCAGUGCUAAAAGGUGGUCCACAGAUGUUAGCAUCAGCAAGAAUAGAGAAGCAAGCCCAUGAAGCAAGUCUCAGUCUCCCCAGACUAAGACUGUCACAGCUUAGAGCCACAGCUCUAAGGGACUAAGAGCCACAGCUUGGCCUUCCAAGGUAGUGUGAGACCCCAUAGGACCAUCAAAGGUCCAGGUCACACACCCUAAGUCCCAGCAGCCAAAUAGGUUCCCAGAGAGGGAGGAAAGCAGGACAGACGGCCAGGACCGGAACACAAUAGGACAAUGCCAGGCAUGGAACAGAAGCCCUGAGUGUAGGAAAUGCCCUAUCUGUAAUUGCCCCCACACAGGAGAAGAAGAAAAAAAGCCCAAGUACAAACGGAAAGCUGGGUAAACAAAAGGUACCAGGUUGCAUUGUAUAUAGCACAUAAUGGAGUAUUUCCCUGCAAGUUAAAAAUCCACACAGUCACUACAAAGAAGUUGCACAGGCACGAUGCUGAGAAAGAACCUGUACACAGCGGAUCUGGGCCUGGAGACCCUGUUUAUACACAGCUCCAUAACUCUCAAGAAGAAUCGGCAUGGUCCGACUCCUGCGCACCUCUGGCUGGGAAAGUGUGGAUGUGGACUUGGCAGGGACAUCAGGCAACUUCCGGGUGAUUAGGAAUGUAUUCCCCCCGCCCCCACUGAACCAUAUAUUUAAGUUCUAUAAACUCACAGUGUGCAUGUCACUCUUCAGCGAUGUGUUUUUUGGUUUUGUUUGUUUUGCAUUAUCA